GGAGUUAAUUAGCAAGGCUGUAGGAAUAUUUUUCUCCCUGUAAGUCUCCUCAUGUACAAUUAGUGGUCUCUUAUUCUGAGUUGCAGAGAUUUCAAUGUUCUGCAGCUUUUAGUAUUGACGACGCAACUGCAUGGUAGGAAUCGGCGGAGAAAAGAUGUGGGAGAAACCGACAAGAGACUGUCCAUUGCAGCCUACUUUUUUGUGGGGGAAGGAAGUCUUCGACACACGUUGGAGACACAGCAGGAAACGAAUGAGGAACUGAGUGACAACUAUCACAUCUGUGAAAUUUAGAUGCUCAGCUUUAAAACAGUGAGGAAGAUUCAUGGUAGGGUCUCUCCUGUUGCUGAAAUGCUAAAUACACUUCACAUUCUUAAACAUUCAAAAAGUUGGGGCUGCAAGGAGUUCCUGCCAACCACUCCCUUUAGUAUAAAUUAUCAUCGACUACAGCCACAGAUAAUACCAGUUAUUCCCAAAUAUGUUGGAACUUCCUUCUGGAAGCCAUACAGCGCAGCACUGCUGGAUUUGUUGCUGCACAUGUGGCUGCUGCUCUGUGCACUGCUGAUGUUGUUGCCACUGGGGUCACUGUGCCAUGAACUGCCCAUGACAGCUGAAACACUGAGGCUAUGUCUACACUACCAUGGAGGCUCUGAAAAGCAGCAAACUAGCACUCAUUCUGCUGGGAGGAGAAGAAACCUUUCCUGCUCUUAGGCCCCUCCCUGCAGCCAUCUCUACAUCCUGAUGUGAGAGACGCCCCCGCACCUGAUGUUACUCCCGGAGAUUAUCCUGGAAU